AUAGCUCAGCUGGGAGAGCGCUUGCAUGGCAUGCAAGAGGUCAGCGGUUCGAUCCCGCUU
rnacentral:tRNA from 18 species